UACAGAGGGGGCAAGCGUUGUUCGGAAUUACUGGGCGUAACGGGCGCGUAGGCGGCCAUCUAAGUCAGACGUGAAAUCCCCCGGCUUAACCUGGGAACUGCGUCUGAUACUGGACGGCUUGAGUAUGGGAGAGGGAUGUAGAAUUCCAGGUGUAGCGGUGAAAUGCGUAGAGAUGUGGAGGAACACCGAUGGCGAAGGCAGCCCCCUGGGUCAACACUGACGCUCAUGCACGAAAGCGUGGGGAGCAAACAGG
rnacentral:rRNA from 1 species